rnacentral:rRNA from 1 species
CUUGUUGGUGGGGUGAUGGCCUACCAAGGCGACGACGGGUAGCCGGCCUGAGAGGGCGACCGGCCACACUGGGACUGAGACACGGCCCAGACUCCUACGGGAGGCAGCAGUGGGGAAUAUUGCGCAAUGGGCGGAAGCCUGACGCAGCGACGCCGCGUGGGGGAUGACGGCCUUCGGGUUGUAAACCUCUUUCGACUUCGACGAAGCCUUCGGGUGACGGUAGGGGUGGAAGAAGCACCGGCCAACUACGUGCCAGCAGCCGCGGUAACACGUAGGGUGCGAGCGUUGUCCGGAAUUAUUGGGCGUAAAGAGCUCGUAGGCGGUGUGUCGCGUCGGCCGUGAAAACCUGUGGCUUAACUAUGGGCUUGCGGUCGAUACGGGCAUCACUGGAGUUCGGCAGGGGAGACUGGAAUUCCUGGUGUAGCGGUGAAAUGCGCAGAUAUCAGGAGGAACACCGGUGGCGAAGGCGGGUCUCUGGGCCGAUACUGACGCUGAGGAGCGAAAGCGUGGGGAGCGAACAGGAUUAGAUACCCUGGUAGUCCACGCCGUAAACGUUGGGCGCUAGGUGUGGGGGCCAUUCCACGGUCUCUGUGCCGUAGCUAACGCAUUAAGCGCCCCGCCUGGGGAGUACGGCCGCAAGGCUAAAACUCAAAGGAAUUGACG